AUUGAACGCUGGCGGCAUGCCUUACACAUGCAAGUCGAACGGCAGCACGGGGCAACCUGGUGGCGAGUGGCGAACGGGUGAGUAAUGCAUCGGAACGUACCUUUCAGUGGGGGAUAACGUAGCGAAAGUUACGCUAAUACCGCAUAUUCUGUGAGCAGGAAAGCAGGGGAUCGCAAGACCUUGCGCUGAUUGAGCGGCCGAUGUCAGAUUAGCUAGUUGGUGAGGUAAAGGCUCACCAAGGCGACGAUCUGUAGCGGGUCUGAGAGGAUGAUCCGCCACACUGGAACUGAGACACGGUCCAGACUCCUACGGGAGGCAGCAGUGGGGAAUUUUGGACAAUGGGGGCAACCCUGAUUCAGCCAUGCCGCGUGAGUGAAGAAGGCCUUCGGGUUGUAAGGCUCUUUCGGCCGGGAAGAAAUCGCACGGGCUAAUACCCUGUGUGGAUGACGGUACCGGAAUAAGAAGCACCGGCUAACUACGUGCCAGCCGCCGCCGUAAUAC
rnacentral:rRNA from 1 species